rnacentral:rRNA from 1 species
AACGAACGCUGGCGGCAGGCUUAACACAUGCAAGUCGAACGGGUGUAGCAAUACAUCAGUGGCAGACGGGUGAGUAACACGUGGGAACCUUCCUAGGGGUACGGAACAACUCAGGGAAACUUGAGCUAAUACCGUAUACGUCCGUGAGGAGAAAGAUUUAUCGCCCUUAGACGGGCCCGCGUCGGAUUAGGUAGUUGGUGGGGUAACGGCCUACCAAGCCUACGAUCCGUAGCUGAUCUUAGAGGAUGAUCAGCCACACUGGGACUGAGACACGGCCCAGACUCCUACGGGAGGCAGCAGUGGGGAAUCUUGGACAAUGGGCGCAAGCCUGAUCCAGCCAUGCCGCGUGAGUGAAGAAGGCCUUAGGGUUGUAAAGCUCUUUUACCAGGGACGAUAAUGACGGUACCUGGAGAAUAAGCCCCGGCAAACUUCGUGCCAGCAGCCGCGGUAA